GGGACAAGACAUCACUGACUGAAUUUUUCUCAUUUCCUGUUCCCGUGCCCAACACUGAAAGUCGGAAACACCUCCAUCUUGCCUCUCCACACCAUGGACCUCUUGCUUUUAUGCUGGGUGGCCUUUUGUCUCUUGGGAAGAGGCUCCAUAGGUGCUGGCAUUACCCAGACUCCAAGGAAUGGGAUUAUAGAGACAGGAAAGAGCAUUGGACUGGAGUGUUUUCAGACUAUGAAUCAUGACUAUAUGUACUGGUAUCGACAAGACGCAGAACUGGGGCUACAGCUGAUCUACGUUUCCUACGGUGUUGACGAUAUUAACGAAGGAGAAGCCUCCAGUGGGUACAAUGCUUCUCGAGAGAAGCCAGAGAAAUUCUCCCUGUCCCUAGAGACUGCCGUCCCCAAACAGACAGCUCUUUACUUCUGUGCCACCAGAGAUAUUCACAGUGCUUCUUGGCCACCUGCUCUCUAUACAGAAAGACAAGCACGUUUGCUCAGAGGGGCACAGAAGGCUUUCCCCAUGUGGGAUGUGGGGAUCCUUAGGGGUCUCAGUAGCUCUCUGCUGUAUGUGCCUCAGUCUGAGCUUAAGGCCACAUUGGAUCAAUGUCCAAAGGCCAUGUGGUGA